CGCGGGAUGGAGCAGUCUGGUAGCUCGUCGGGCUCAUAACCCGGAGGCCGGUGGUUCAAAUCCACCUCCCGCAA
rnacentral:tRNA from 1 species